AUUUCCCAGCUGGGAGUGCACGCUCUGUAAAAUCCUUCAGUAUAAUAAAACCAGGCAUAUGAACCACAUUUAC
rnacentral:lncRNA from 1 species